rnacentral:rRNA from 1 species
AACAGAGGGUUUGAUUAUAGUAGUAAUCUAUGAACGAACGCUGGCAGGAUGCUUUACACAUGCAAGUCUGUCGAACGGCAGCACGGACUUCGGUCUGGUGGCGAGUGGCGAACGGGUGAAAUAAUGUAUCGGAACGUGCCUAGUAGCGGGGGAUAACUACGCGAAAGCGUAGCUAAUACCACAUACGCCCUUCGGGAAAGCAGGGGACCUUCGGGCCUCGCACUAUUAGAGCGGCCGAUAUCGGAUUAGCUAGUUGGUGGGGUAACGGCUCACCAGGCGACGAUCCGUAGCUGGUUUGAGAGGACGACCGACACACUGGGACUGAGACACAGCGGGCUCUACGGGAGGCAGCAGUGGGGAAUUUUGGACAAUGGAAACCCUGAUCCAGCCAUCCCGCGUGUGCGAUGAAGGCCCUUCGGGUUGUAAGCACUUUUGGCAGGAAAGAAACGGCACGGGAUAAUACCCCGUGCAACUGACGGUACCUGCAGGGUAAGCACCGGCUAACUACGUGCCAGCAGCCGCGGUAAUACGUAGGGUACGAAAGAAGCGUUAAUCGGAAUUACUGGGCGUAAAGCGUGCGCAGGCGGUUCGGAAGGAAGAUGAAAUCCCAGGCUUAACUUCGGAACUGCAUUUUAACUACCGAGCUAGAGUGUCAGAGGAGGUGGGAGUCCGCGUGUAGCAGUGAAAUGCGUAUAGAUAUGCGGAGGAACACCGAUGGUAGGCAGCCUCCUGGGAUAACACUGACGGCUCAUGCACGAAAGCGUGGGGAGCAAACAGGAUUAGAUACCCUGGUAGUCCACGCCCUAAACGAUAAUGACUGUUGGGGCCUUCGGGCCUUGGUAGCGCAACUAACGCGUGAAGUUGACCGCCUGGGGAGAUACGGUCGCAAGAUUAAAACUCAAAGGAAUGACGGGGACCCACAAGCGGUGGAUGAUGUGGAUUAAUUCGAUGCAACGCGAAAAACCUUACCUACCCUUGACAUGUCUGGAAUCCCGAAGAGAUUUGGGAGUGCUCGCAAGAGAACCGGAACACAGGUGCUGCAUGGCUGUCGUCAGCUCGUGUCGUGAGAUGUUGGGUUAAGUCCGCAACUUGAGCGCAACCCUUGUCAUUAGUUGCUACGAAGGGCACUCUAAUGAGACUGCCGGUGACAAACCGGAGGAAGGUGGGGAUGACGUCAGGUCCUCAUGGCCCUUGCCGUCCAGGGCUUCACACGUCAUACAAUGGUCAGGACAGAGGGUCACUCUCAACCCGCGAGGGAAGCCAAUCCCAGAAACCCGAUCGUAGUCCGGAUCGCAGUCUGCAACUCGACUGCGUGAAGUCGGAGAUCGCUAGUAAUCGCGGAUCAGCAUGUCGCGGUGAAUGCGUUCCCGGGUCUUGUACACACCGCCCGUCACACCAUGGGAGUGGGUUUUACCAGAAGUGAAGUUAGCCUAACCGUAAGGAGGGCGAUUACCACGGUAGGAUUCAUGACUGGGGUGAAAGUCGUAACUGAAUUAG